UCUCGACAGCGUAGAAGGUAACUCAAAUUUGCACGGAGUUGAAACGUAUGCCUACGUAUGCCGCUAGGGGCGCUGUUCCAACUGCAUACAAAUUUGAGUUAAAUUUUACGCUAUUGA
rnacentral:miRNA from 9 species